GACGAACGCUGGCGGCGUGCUUAACACAUGCAAGUCGAACGGAAAGGCCUGCUUUCCCUUGUGGAUUGCGGGUACUCGAGUGGCGAACGGGUGAGUAACACGUGAGUGAUCUGCCCCCAACUUGGGUAUAAGCCUGGGAAACUGGGUCUAAUUCCCGAUAGGACUGCAGGGUGGUGCCUGUGGUGGGAAACGAUUUUCUAGUGGUUGGGGAUGAGCUCGCGGCCUAUCAGCUUGUUGGUGGGGUAAUGGCCUACCAAGGCGGCGACGGGUAGCCGGCCUGGGAGGGUGGACGGGCACAUUGGGACUGAGAUACGGCCCAGACUCCUACGGGAGGCAGCAGUGGGGAAUAUUGCACAAUGGGCGGAAGCCUGAUGCAGCGACGCCGCGUGGGGGAUGACGGCCUUCGGGUUGUAAACUCCUUUCGACCGCGAGGAAGCCACCUGGUUGGAAGGGUGGUGACGGUAGUGGUAGAAGAAGCACCGGCUAACUACGUG
rnacentral:rRNA from 1 species